UAAUAAGUGCUUUAUGGCACUUUUUUAAAUCCAUAUCCACCUUGUGUGCAAUGUCAGUCGAUCUUCUUCAUGGAGAUCGACCAAACAUCAACCUUUAUCUUUUAACUCUUUGUCUGAAAAAUAUUAUGAAUAAACAAUUCAAAAUA
rnacentral:misc_RNA from 1 species